rnacentral:rRNA from 1 species
UGGGGAAUAUUGCACAAUGGGGGAAACCCUGAUGCAGCGACGCCGCGUGAGCGAAGAAGGCCUUCGGGUCGUAAAGCUCUUUUAUGAGUGAAGAUAAUGACGGUACCUCAAGAAAAAGCCCCGGCUAACUACGUGCCAGCAGCCGCGGUAAUACGUAGGGGGCUAGCGUUGUCCGGAAUCACUGGGCGUAAAGGGUUCGCAGGCGGAAUAACAAGUCAGAUGUGAAAGGCAUGGGCUCAACCCAUGUAAGCAUUUGAAACUGUAAUUCUUGAGAAGUGGAGAGGUAAGUGGAAUUCCUAGUGUAGCGGUGAAAUGCGUAGAUAUUAGGAGGAAUACCUGUGGCGAAGGCGACUUACUGGACACAAAUCUGACGCUGAGGAACGAAAGCGUGGGUAGCAAACAGG